UACGGGAGGCAGCAGUGGGGAAUAUUGCACAAUGGGCGCAAGCCUGAUGCAGCCAUGCCGCGUGUAUGAAGAAGGCCUUCGGGUUGUAAAGUACUUUCAGUCGUGAGGAAGGUGUUAAGGUUAAUAACCUUAGCAAUUGACGUUAGCGACAGAAGAAGCACCGGCUAACUCCGUGCCAGCAGCCGCGGUAAUACGGAGGGUGCGAGCGUUAAUCGGAAUUACUGGGCGUAAAGGGCACGCAGGCGGUUAAUUAAGUUGGAUGUGAAAUCCCCGGGCUUAACCUGGGAAUGGCAUUCAAGACUGGUUAGCUAGAGUCUUGUAGAGGGGGUAGAAUUCCAUGUGUAGCGGUGAAAUGCGUAGAGAUGUGGAGGAUACCGGUGGCGAAGGCGGCCCCUGGGACAAAGGACUGACGCUCAUGUGCGAAAGCGUGGGGAGCGAAACAGGGAUUAGAUACC
rnacentral:rRNA from 1 species